UCUGCAGGAAGAAAAUGAUGUAAGCUUAUCUGAAUGAGUGCAUGUUUUCAACUUUAGACAUGAUGCAUUGACUAAUAUCUUGAGAAAUUCGACAACGUGAAUUUGUUCCAGUGUCAUUGUCCUUGGAGUACAGUGCAUUUGGAAAGCAGGACAAAUAUUUGGUGACAGAUUCUGGUGAAUGUAUAUUUUUGUUGGUUUGAGAAUACAUCAUGCAGGAGAUGAUCUUAUAUUCAGGCACUGUUGUCCAGUUUCCUCUCCGAACUCGUCCUUAUCCCCUCUCUACAGUGAACAUAGGCGAAAAAGGGCGACUCCGAGGCGGACGCCGCUUCCGGCGGGGAUUCCGCCGGUCUUCUUCCUCUCCGAUGGCCGGCCGGCCGUCGGCGAGGCGGAACGACCGCGGGAUCACCGUCCGGCUGUAGAUAGGUUAGAUAUUUACUUAUCUAGGCCUAGAUGCUGCUCGUCGCCGUCGGGCGAAGGAGCUAGGGUUUGCUGGCGGCCUCAAUUCGUCCAUUCCUUUUGCAACGGGUUGGAGGGGAUGGAGUUUGAGCCGCUGUGGCUUGUCUUCCUCUUGCUGAUGGUCGGAGUCGCCGCUUCGGCAAGGUGGAUUUUGCUUCUCCGGGGAUUUUCUGUUUACCUCUGGGUGUCCACCUCUCGAUUUGCUUUGGUUUGAUCGGUGGUUUCAAGUUCUUGGGCGAUGCUGGGAGUACGCGGAGGCGGUCGCGCUACCCUAUCUGGAGGUGGAAGACGAUGUGCAGGGACCUGGUUGUAAUUUGUGCUUUCCUUAGGGUUGUCUUUGCAAAGCUAGGAUGUACUGUGCUUGCCACUGUUUAAUAUAAUCUACAUCUUGGUUCGCAAAAAAAAAAGGAGAUACUGAAUUGCAGACAAUGGCUAUUCACUAAUUUGAAUGGUCGGUGGCCGCUUCCUUGCACAUGCGCCAGUCACUGGACAUGUCCAAUCUUAAUGCAAUAAGUAGUUAACCUAUGUGUUUUCCUCUAUCACUGGCUCUGGCCUUUUAUGAUGGGAAUAGCGGUGAAAGCAAAUCUGUGGUCUGGAUCUUGAAUCUCGAUCUAGGUUUGACACAGCCACCCAGGGCAUGCUUGAUGCACGUUAAGAGAUCACUGUCUGCUGGUGCUGAAUCACGCAGGCAAGUGAAAAAAAACAAAAGGCCGGCAGUGCUGAUGAAUUGAAGAUCCCUAGGCACCAUCUUAUUAUUACUGCAACUGGCAGUGGAUGGGAGGUGAGUGGUGACUACUCGCGCCACGUGCUUGUCACGAGUUUGGAAGCCAUGUACUUUUGGCUACUAAUUAGCCAACAGUUUGCCUGUUUCAUGCUACUAAUUUUUAGGCAAGUUGGACUUCUGAAGGAGCAAAUUUCUGGGGAUUGCUUCAUGAGAGUAUCUUGGUCUUAUGGUCUUGAUCAUGACAAUCAAGAAAAGGACAAUUCUUUUGCCCCAGGAAAAGUGCACCAGUAUUAUGCUCCCUAGUAUGAUAUGAUUCGAUAGAUGAUCAGAUUCACUGUUUUUCUUUAUUUUUCUUAAAAGCGACAUAGUAGUUCGGAUCA